rnacentral:rRNA from 1 species
AUUGAACGCUGGCGGCAGGCCUAACACAUGCAAGUCGAGCGGCAGCACGGGUACUUGUACCUGGUGGCGAGCGGCGGACGGGUGAGUAAUGCCUAGGAAUCUGCCUGGUAGUGGGGGAUAACGUCCGGAAACGGGCGCUAAUACCGCAUACGUCCUACGGGAGAAAGUGGGGGAUCUUCGGACCUCACGCUAUUGGAUGAGCCUAGGUCGGAUUAGCUAGUUGGUGAGGUAAUGGCUCACCAAGGCGACGAUCCGUAACUGGUCUGAGAGGAUGAUCAGUCACACUGGAACUGAGACACGGUCCACACUCCUACGGGAGGCAGCAGGAGGGAAUAUUGGACAAUGGGCGAAAGCCUGAUCCAGCCAUGCCGCGUGUGUGAAGAAGGUCUUCGGAUUGUAAAGCACUUUAAGUUGGGAGGAAGGGCAGUUACCUAAUACGUGAUUGUUUUGACGUUACCGACAGAAUAAGCACCGGCUAACUCUGUGCCAGCCGCCGCCGUAA